AUUGAACGCUGGCGGCAGGCCUAACACAUGCAAGUCGAACGAGUGGCGGACGGGUGAGUAAUGUCUGGGAAACUGCCUGAUGGAGGGGGAUAACUACUGGACACGGUAGCUAAUACCGCAUAACAUCAGAUGUGCCCAGAUGGGAUUAGCUAGUUGGUGGGGUAACGGCUCACCAAGGCGACGAUCCCUCGCUGGUCUGAGAGGAUGACCAGCCACACUGGAACGGAGACCCGGUCCAGACGCCGCCGCAAGGCAGCAGUGGGGAAUAUUGCACAAGGGGCGCAAGCCUGAUGCAGCCAUGCCGAGUGUAUGAAGAAGGCCUUCGGGUUGUAAAGUACUUUCAGCGGGGAGGCGUUACCCGCAGAAGAAGCACCGGCUAACUCCGUGCCAGCCGCCGCGGUAAUAC
rnacentral:rRNA from 1 species